UAUGGUCAUUGAAUAUGAGUCUGAUUCUAUUUUAGAUAGGGAAAAUACGAUUCAGCUAGUGAAUAUGAUACUAUUCCCAAAAAUAUGAUUUUAUAAUUUGUUCCGUUGACUUCUCUUUGGUCAAUGAGGUAGCAGCUAUCUUUAGAUAAUAUUAUAAACUAUAAUAUUGGAUACGGUUACUUCAUGAUCGGAAGAGUAUUUUGGGCUAACUACUUUUGCAAUAAUUUGUAGUUUUCCAUCUUUAAACAGAAUGAUGAAACAAAAGUAUCAGAAUUACAGAAAUCUAUCUAGAACAUUUAUUAAAUGUAUUUUUGCUUAUGUCUAUCGAAAAAACAAUCAUAACUUUAUUUUGAAAUGUAAACUACACUGAAAAUUAAGUUUUAACUUAACCUGAAUUUGUAUUUAACAAAAGUAGUAGUGAACAACAAAAAAUCAGUCAUAUUUCAUGCUUUGCUAUGACUUAAUUACAACCAUAUUAAAUAAGGCAGUGUCAAAACAAUGCACUAUCACAUUCAUUUUCUAAAAGUGCUGAUACAUAUGUUUGACAACAGUGUACAAAUCAUCAUAUUUGAUGGUUGCAAGUGCCUUUAUGAAAUUUAAUGUGAUGAUAAAUGUCACUUCAUCUUAAUACUUAGAACACAGACACAGAUCUAGCAAUAAAUAUGUAUUGUUUGCUGUUAUUUAAUUAUAUUACAUUUUCAUUUUGACUAAAUUUGCAUCAAUGCAUCAAAAUUACAACAAUUUGUUAAAGCUGCAUGAAACAUUGCAUUGUCACAUUCAUCUUUGUCUAAAAGUACAAAUGCAUAUAUUUGACAACAAUGAAUAAAUUAUCAUAAUUUAUUUGAUAAUUGCAAGUUCCUUUAUAACAAAAUGUGAUAACAAAUGUCACUUCAUCAUAAUACUUAGAAUACGAUAUAAAUCAUUUGUGUACAAUGACAAUUGAAGUUUAAUUGUACUUUAGAUUGUCAUGUGCGACAUGCGUGGUAAUUCUAGAAAAAGUAAACACUAUAUUCAAGUUUUACCUGACAUUAUGUUAGACAAGUUUAAAUAAUUUCAAAUGCUAAUCUACCGGGUUAAUAUAUGCGCAACUUAAUUUUUCUGUCAGCACAUCAAUUUUAGUAACUUUAAAUGCUAAAUUGUCACUUUCAAAAUUCAAUUCAAUAUAUAACAGAACGGGACAGAACAUUUUUUGUUUUUGUACAUAGUACAUUAUCAUAUACAGCAUAUAACACUGCGGAUGAUCACGUGACCAAAAUCGUACAAUGGGCUCAUAAAAUGGCGGCCUACCCGCUCGGUUAAAGCAGUGAAAUUGGGGAAUUUGAAAUUUCUUAUGUGUUUAUUUACUGGCAUUAUGGCAAAUCGUAUAGAAGACGAUCAGCUUCAUGUCGUCACGAGUAGGUUCACAAGGGGAAGGCACAUUGUGGGACAUUGUUUCUAAGUUUCGGCAAAUUGCAAAUACAUAGGUCUGUAAAUUACAUAUGACUUUUGUCAAAUACACAGUUUAAUUUGUCAUGGUAUAACUUUGUAUACGCUUGCUUGAAUGACACGUGAUGUUUUGUCUAUAUAUAAGCAUUCUUUGUAAUAGCAUUUUCUCAUCUUGACGGAAGCGACACUGCUGUGAAGUGAUAUAUACCAGAUUUCUUAAAAUGGUGGUGUUUAUUUGGCUUGCCAUAUUCCUUUCUUUCCUGUCACUUUCAAAUGCAUGGACUUCGCAAUAUUGCUGGGCCGGCCUUCAAAAACAAGAAUGCUUGUAUGGUGACGCAGACUUAAAGGGGCGAGAGGAACUAAUGAUAAGUUACUUUAUAAGUAAUCCAUAUUCUCGGAUUUGCUGUGAAGCCCUUAGUUGUACCCUAGAGACAGGGAGGUGUGAGUUCCAAUAUGCCGGAUGCCAUGAUAAUAGCACAGCUGAUAUCCAGACUCGUCCAAGACUUUGGGAACUCCAAAACAUACCUAUAAUGAUGCGGUGUACCGAUGUGCAAGGGAAAGGUGCAUUUUAUGUGUAUUGGGCUCGGAUUGUGCAGGAAUAAACCCUUUUGUAAUUAAGAAACACUCAUUAAAAACGUUUUGUUUUUCGGACAAAAUGUUAUGAAGUUAACACUAAAAUGCAUUUAAGAUGAAUGUGAUUAUAGAUGAAACGUAUGAAUAUUCAUUAAUUAAAACAAACACUAACCUAAUAUAAUAAAAUUUCACGUUUGCGUAAUGACCACUCUUUUCUUUUUAGAUAUGUUUACAAUCGAAUAUUUAUUAAUAAAAAUCAUAUCGACUUUAUAACAAUUUUAAUUUGAUCGUGUCGGACGACCUCCGAGGUGUUACUUUUCUUUUCCAUUUUUAUAAGAUCAACCAGCUGAGUAAAACAAUUAUUACGCCGUUUUUCUUUAUAUGUGUACGAAACAAGUUAGUUACAAGGAUAUAACACUGGCUGGGGCAACUUCGUGAGAUGUUAAUGUCAAGGCCCUCGGGGCGGGAUGGUGUUUUGUUUUGCAAAAAUAUCCCGAAAUGUCGCCCAGCCAAUGUUAUCUCGCGUAACGAACGAGUUUUUUUUAUAUUAUAACUGUUGUAUCGUAAUUUCAUAAUUUUUAGCAGAAAACAGCAAUAAAUACUAUGUUCAGUGA